UCUGUGAAAGCAUUUCAGUUGAAACGGAAGCUGGUUGAAAUCUCCAGUCCAGUUGGUGGCAGUAGUGCACCUCAAGAGACCGAGUGUGGGCGAGAGAGAACGAGUGUGCGGGUAAAGGAUCAAAUAAACAUACUGAACCAUUUUAACUUGUACGGUAGCAUUAAGUUGAGGUAUCCUGCAGUUUUUAAAUAUGCCUAAAAACUUUUAUUAUCAAUUAUAAACUAUUGUAUGGAGUCAAGGGAUUGGGGGCGUAUACAACUCGCCUGCGUGUGUUGCGUCAUCAGCUUGAAUUGCAGACGCAGACUGAGGUGGAGCUGAAUCAGACAAGAGACAUGCGGCUGGAUCAAAGUUACGGCGGACACACUUUGCAUGGCUUGAUGGUGUUGUGAACUGGAAGAAAUAAAACAUUCAAGGCUCCUCCAACAACAAUUAUCCUCUUUGAAAGUUUUACGUUCGUUGAAUUAAAGUUUAUUUGACUCCAUUUUCAUUGUUUUUAUUUCAUAUAUUAUUUAUAAUUGUAAAGCAAAUUAUUACAACCUGAUAGGAAAGCAUAUGAUUUACUAAGAAUUUCAGAUAACCUUAUAAUGAAAAUCCUUCUUGGUUUACAAGAAAGAGAAAUACCAAUCUAAUGCAAUUGAAAUUUUCAAACAUGUAAAGUUAUGUUCUAAUAAUGAUUAAUGUU